UUGAAACACAGGUUCCCAUAUUAUCACUGAAGCUAAGCAACACUGAGUCUGAUCAGUACCAAGAAGGGUGACCACUUGGGAAUACUAGAUGCUGUAA